ACGCUCGACACCUACGAGGCAGCAGUCGGGAAUAUUGCGCAAUGGAGGAAACUCUGACGCAGUGACGCCGCGUGCAGGAAGAAGGUUUUCGGAUUGUAAACUGCUUUAGACAGGGAAGAAAAAAGACAGUACCUGUAGAAUAAGCUCCGGCUAACUACGUGCCAGCAGCCGCGGUAAUCUGAGCGGGCUGGCAAGGC
rnacentral:rRNA from 1 species